CUGGAUCUGAGAGCUGUUUCACGACAGCUGCCUGUGGCCUGACAGGGAAGGAAGUUUCCAACUCCACACUCCCUCUAAUGCAUUUUGUAUUUUGAGUCUUUUUCUUCACCACCUAACAGGACAUACUGCCAAAGCCUUUGGGCCCUUUUGCAGGGCUUGAGGAGAAGGAUGGAAACGACAGAGGUAGCUACAGGAAUUAGAAAAGGGGAAGAGGAAGUCUGUAAACCAGCAGAGGUGGCUGAGGCUCGUAUUUCCACACUUCUCAAUCAGUGGCCAGCAGAGCAGCUGCACUAUAAGAUUUACCGCUGGUACUGCAGCACUGCUUCCAUUUCAUGUUGC
rnacentral:lncRNA from 12 species